rnacentral:rRNA from 1 species
CGUGCAGGUGGCUCUGUAAGUUGGAUGUGAAAUUUCCCGGCUUAACCGGGAAGGGUCAUUCAAUACUGUGGGGCUUGAGGGCAGAAGAGGGGGGUGGAAUUGCCGGUGUAGUGGUGAAAUGCGUAGAUAUCGGCAGGAACACCUGUGGCGAAAGCGGCCCCCUGGUCUGCUCCUGACACUCAGACGCGAAAGCUAGGGGAGCAAACGGGAUUAGAAACCCCGGUAGUCCUAGCCGUAAACGAUGGAUGCUAGGUGUAGGUGGUAUUGACCCCAUCUGUGCCGAAGCUAACGCGUUAAGCAUCCCGCCUGGGGACUACGGCCGCAAGGUUAAA